rnacentral:rRNA from 1 species
AAGUCGUAACAAGGUUUCCGUAGGUGAACCUGCGGAAGGAUCAUUCACAAACGAGUGUUUUAUGGCACUCUUUAAAAAUCCAUAUCCACUUUGUGUGCAAUGUUUGUUGGGAAAGUCUUUUCUUUCCCUUUCAUAAAUAUCAACCUAUAUCUUUAACAACAUUCGUCUGAUAACAUAUUAUGAAUAUACUUAAUUCAAAAUAUAACUUUCAACAACGGAUCUCUUGGCUCUCGCAUCGAUGAAGAACGCAGCGAAAUGCGAUACGUAAUGUGAAUUGCAGAAUUCAGUGAAUCAUCGAAUCUUUGAACGCAUAUUGCGCUCUUUGGUAUUCCGAAGAGCAUGCUUGUUUGAGUAUCAGUAAACACCUCAACCUCUCUUUUUUGAUAAAAAAAAAGGGAGGGUGGACUUGAGCUAUCCCAACGACCUUCACCGGUAGGCGGGCGGCUUGAAAUGCAGGUGCAGCUGGACUUUUAUCUGAGCUAAAAGCAUAUCUAUUUAGUCCUCGUCAAACAGGAUUAUUACUUUUGCUGCAGCUAACAUAAGGAAUAAUUGUCCUCUUUGCUGACUGAUGCAGGAUUUUACGACACUUUAUGUGUUGUUCAACUCGAUCUCAAAUCAAGUAAGACUACCCGCUGAACUUAA